rnacentral:lncRNA from 1 species
CUCAGUUGCAAAACGGCAGCAUGCCUGUCAGAAUAAUUAUAGAGCAUAAAGUGUGGGAGAAGCAAACCAGGAAGGAAGUACACAGAUGUUCAAGCCUCGAUAGCCCUCAGUGCUCAGGACAAAAUCUUGGUCUGCUUUUCAAACAGGCAUUGGGUAGGGGGAGCAAAACUGAAAAUGCAGCAUUUCUUUUGCUUUCUUUCCAAUAUAGACGUUAUUCUACCUCUGGAAGCAACAUUUCAAGCAACAGGACAGGGGAUAGAGCCUGAAUGGACCUCACUUUCUCUGGAAACCCCUCCAGAAGCAGACUUUCCCAAGCAGAGCACAGUGGAGGAGCUGCAGUCCUCCAGCACUGGACCCCUCCAACCACCACAGCUUGAGAGAAGGGCACAGGUCCGCCACAGUUUGUUAGAGUGGAGCCCAGGCGCGGAGCGACUAAUGAGCAUGCUGGAGAGAGUGUCCAACCCAACGCCAGCUAGAGACAAUCCACCUGUCUGCUCUCAGACGCAGGGUAUGGUGCAUGACAGUAAGACACCCGUUUGUAUUUUUUCGUUAAAUAAUUUAGAUAUUUAUUGAUUUCCUUCACUUUUAUUUUUUUUUUUUGCAUUGACCUUACUCUCAGUAGCAACUAUGACUCUCUUUGGAAAAGGGUAGCAUGUUUCAAAAAGAGGCUUUCCCCUUGUAAUUAUCAUUUGAUUUGAUUUAAGGAAAACAUGCAACAUUAUAGCUCUCCAGAAUUUAGAGCUAUUUCUCCUUUAAAUGUAAUAAUGCAUCCUGAGCUUGGUAUUACAAAAAAAAGGUAACCCAAUAUUUAUAGCUUCUUAAAUAACACCAAAUGUCCUUUAUUUGAAUGAAAAAAUUCAAAUAUAACAGCUGUCUGACACUAAAAAUAGUGCAAAUUGCAUAAAUUAGAGCCUAUAUUUCAAAGGUGCCUUGCUUAACAUCUUUAUCUACAGUCAAAAGCCAGCAGGAUACUGGUAUAAAACAUUUACUUAACUCUGUUUGCAGAAAUUCUGUAUAGAUGGAAUAGUUCCUGCAGGAUACCUUUCAACUCCAAGCUGUUCACAUAACGCGUCAUGACGAUACCUAGCUCCCUUUGGGCUUUUCUUGAGGCUACCCUGCCAGUUAAUAUUUUGUUAGCCAAGUAGACAGGCUUGCAGAACAGACACAAUAUAACAUUGCCAGUUAGCGGUAGGAUGCCCCAUUUACUCUGAAAGAAACAUAACAAUGUAGUAACAGGAAUCAGUAAUAAUUACUCGUAUUGUCCUCCACAUUGUCAUUGGAAAAGCUAUCCAAUUCAAAUGAGCCAGCCAAAUGAGCUGCUAUUUCCACUUCUUGUAGCCUCAGUUUCCUGCCUGAGUUUGGACAUAAAAAACAUGUAGUAUGUUGCGGCUAGGAAGAAAAUGUGCCGUCAGUGCAUCAUUGAUCUUCCAAAGUCUGGUCUUCAAUAUUAUGAAAAAAUAUCUUAGGAAUCUAUAGUCUCCUCUUGAUACUAAUUAUCACUGACAUUAAUGGGACUUGUGUGUGCACACUGCAUAGGGAAAAGAAAACAAACCAUUGAUGUCCAGGGCUAAUACUCACAAACAGCUAGUAUUAAAAUAGCAUUGAAUAUUAUUAACGCACUCUCACCGCCCCAGGUGAAAGCUAGUCUUUCCUAAGCAGUAGCAUUCAUUUUCAAUUCAAUAACUUCUGUUUCUAUUAGCAUUUUAACAAUGUAUGUAUUUUUUUAAGCUAACAUCUUGGCUUUCCAUGUCUUAGAAGAUUCUCAAAUACUUCCAAAUAUUUCUUUCUUCUGCGUUUAAAUAGAGUACUUAACUUUUUAAAAACUUGCCUGAUUUCCAGAAUUUCAGCUGAAUUUACAGGGAAAUGUUGGAUAUACAAUCUUGAGAAAAUAGAUGUUGGGAGCAAAGUUUGUGUGUAUUGAAACAAAUUAUUCAAGUGGAAAUAAAAGUGUGAGUAUCCUGGUAAAACUGCUUGGG